CUACUGGGGUAUCUAAUCCUGUUUGCUACCCACGCUUUCGAGCAUGAACGUCAGUAUUAUCCCAGGGGGCUGCCUUCGCCAUCGGUAUUCCUCCACAUCUCUACGCAUUUCACUGCUACACGUGGAAUUCUACCCCCCUCUGACAUACUCUAGCUUACCAGUUCAAAACGCAGUUCCCAAGUUAAGCUCGGGGAUUUCACAUCUUGCUUAAUAAACCGUCUGCGCUCGCUUUACGCCCAGUAAUUCCGAUUAACGCUCGCACCCUACGUAUUACCGCGGCGGCUGGCAC
rnacentral:rRNA from 1 species